GAGAGUCAUUGUCUUCAUAAAAACACAAACCCAAACGAUGUAUUCCCAAUUAAAAGUCAAACUCACUCUAACUUCAGUUUCUCCUCUUAUGAAUACUCUUAACACCGACGCUUGCGAUAUAGAGAUAGAGAAGGAGGAAAAAAAAACCUUGCGAUACAGAGAAGGAGACAGAGUUCGUACCCGCCACUGUCCGUUCCAUUGCCAGAAUUAUACCAGUCAAACCGGCGCCGAUAACCUAAAGGUGCACACAGGAAUUGAGAUACGGACAUAGAGAGAACUACCACCGAGUGCAAACUUACCCACUUAGAUUUCUGCCACCAAGUCAGUUUAGAGUCAUAAGAGAACGAUCGUUACAUCGUUUGAAGAUUCUUUUAAUAACCGUUUGGAAUAAGUUGAUACAAAAGGAGAGAGGACGAUAGAGAGACGAAGAAGAAGGAUUAUUAUAUAAGAAGAGAAAGCCAGUGGAGCAUACACAGGUCAAGAAGGGAGAAGGUUUUUAUGGUGAUUGGCUUUUUAAAUUGGCUUUUUGAUUGUUGAGUGGAACCAUGAAGGCAAGCGGAUAUAGAAGAUGUCCAUGAGACCAAAUGUAAGAGAGAGUUUGAGAGACAAUCAGCAUGGCAAGCGUUGGAGAUCUGUUGCCCAUCCAAAGAGAUUCAAUAGAGAGAGUCUGUAAUGCAAUGAGAGAGAAAUUUGAUGGCCCUGCCACUGCCUUCUCGGUCUUCUGCCACUGCCAUACUUUCAGAACCAUUACCGAAAACUCCUUUUAGCCUAUUUUUCCCCGAAACCAAACACCCAAAAACCUUGAACCAAAGAGAGCCAUAAUAGGAACAACUGGUCAUGAGUCACAACCACAACCCAUCCAAGCAUCUACAAUGUCAACAAUGACAAGAAUAGAAGGUAUGAUAAUAAAUGAUUUUGUUCUUUUGAUUAAAUCUAUAGAGCCCAAAAGUUUAAUGUUUUCACCUUACAUUACACUUUGUAUUAAUGAGCAUCCCGCUUAAUCCUAGAUUUACAAGUUGAAUGAUGUCACUUCUCAUUAGAUGGGGAGUCCAUAUGCUUAUAGGUGGGCUCGGUAGGAAGCCAAGAAGAGAUAAAAGCAGAAGCCUUUCCCUGCAAUUAAGCCCAUUGCAACAUGUAGGAAGCAUUUGGCAAGGGAAAGUGCUCACUUGGUUUUAAACAAAGCUCUCUCUCAAUGCAAGGAGUGUAGAUACUGAAAAAUUAUAGACAAUAGAAAUAGUAUUUGGAGAAGAUAAAGUAUUCAAAGAGGAUGAUCAACAUUGCUAUGCUGAAACUUGGGAAUAUGGUGUUGCAGAGAAGAAACAGAACAAAGAACCCUCCCACCACUGACCUGCCAGAACUGCAAACAGUUAAAACACAUAGGAAUGGAAUUAAAGUCGGUGACGUGACUAGCAUAAGAAGCAGGUCUUAAUUGCUAUUAAGAGCUGGAGAGUAGGAGAGUAGUUGAGAAACUGCCAGAGACAAAUAAGGAAAUGGCUAUAAAUGAAGUUAAGAAGAGGGCAAAAAUUGUCAAUAUCCUUAUGCACCAAGAAAUUUAUGGAAAAGGAUUGCGCUAAAAGCAUCAAGUAGAUGUACAUGGCUUAGGAAAGGGAUCAGGUAGCUGCAAAUUUCUCUAUGAGAUUUCAUAAAUUUAACUUUGAUAUAGUGCUACUAUCUUUUAUUUUUUAGAGGGCAGUACAGUGAUUGGUAUUGAUAAAACUCUAUAAUAUAACUUUUACAAGAGUUUUAGUUUUUUAUUUUUUUCCUACCCUAAGAUAUAUCUUUUGUCCAGUCUUUGUAUUCUUGAAAUUAAUUGUCCUUUGUGUAGUUUAAAUUGGAUUGUUAUAGUAAGAAUCCUGUAAUCGUGACAAACAUAGUUUGUAUAAUUGAGGUUCUUUGUAUUUUCCUUA